rnacentral:rRNA from 1 species
CCUACGGGAUGCAGCAGUGAGGAAUAUUGGUCACUGGGCGAGAGCCUGAACCAGCCAAGUCGCGUGAGGGAGUACUGCCCUAUGGGUUGUAAACCUCUUUUGUCGGGGAGCAAAAGCCGGACGUGUCCGGCUGUGAGAGUACCCGACGAACAAGCAUCGGCUAACUCCGUGCCAGCAGCCGCGGUAAUACGGAGGAUGCGAGCGUUAUCCGGAUUUAUGGGGUUAAAAGGGUGCGCAGGCGGAUUUUUAAGUCAGCGGUCAAAUCGUGGGGCUCAACCCCAUCCAGCCGUUGAAACUGGGGAUCUAGAGUGUGCGAGAGGUAUGCGGAAUGCGUGGUGUAGCGGUGAAAUGCAUAGAUAUCACGCAGAACCCCGAUUGCGAAGGCAGCAUACCGGUGCACAACUGACGCUCAGGCACGAAAGCGUGGGUAUCGAACAGGAUUAGAUACCCCAGUAGUC